ACAGCAGUAGCUCAACGGUAGAGCAGCGGUCUCCAAAACCGCAGGUUGAUGGUCCAAGUCCAUCCUGCUGUGCCA
rnacentral:tRNA from 1 species